rnacentral:rRNA from 1 species
GAUAUGAACCGUUAUAACCGGCGAUUUCCGAAUGGGGAAACCCAGUGUGUUUCGACACACUAUCAUUAACUGAAUCCAUAGGUUAAUGAGGCGAACCGGGGGAACUGAAACAUCUAAGUACCCCGAGGAAAAGAAAUCAACCGAGAUUCCCCCAGUAGCGGCGAGCGAACGGGGAGGAGCCCAGAGCCUGAAUCAGUGUGUGUGUUAGUGGAAGCGUCUGGAAAGGCGCGCGAUACAGGGUGACAGCCCCGUACACAAAAAUGCACAUAUUGUGAGCUCGAUGAGUAGGGCGGGACACGUGGUAUCCUGUCUGAAUAUG